rnacentral:rRNA from 1 species
UACGGGGGGGGCAAGCGUUGUUCGGAAUUACUGGGCGUAAAGGGCGCGUAGGCGGCCUUCUAAGUCAGACGUGAAAUCCCCCGGCUUAACCUGGGAACUGCGUCUGAGACUGGGAGGCUUGAGUAUGGGAGAGGGAUGUAGAAUUCCAGGUGUAGCGGUGAAAUGCGUAGAUAUCUGGAGGAAUACCGGUGGCGAAGGCGGCAUCCUGGACCAUAACUGACGCUGAGGCGCGAAAGCUAGGGGAGCAAACGGG